rnacentral:rRNA from 1 species
GGAAAGGCGCGCGAUACAGGGUGACAGCCCCGUACACAAAAAUGCACAUGCUGUGAGCUCGAUGAGUAGGGCGGGACACGUGGUAUCCUGUCUGAAUAUGGGGGGACCAUCCUCCAAGGCUAAAUACUCCUGACUGACCGAUAGUGAACCAGUACCGUGAGGGAAAGGCGAAAAGAACCCCGGCGAGGGGAGUGAAAAAGAACCUGAAACCGUGUACGUACAAGCAGUGGGAGCACGCUUAGGCGUGUGACUGCGUACCUUUUGUAUAAUGGGUCAGCGACUUAUAUUCUGUAGCAAGGUUAACCGAAUAGGGGAGCCGAAGGGAAACCGAGUCUUAACUGGGCGUUAAGUUGCAGGGUAUAGACCCGAAACCCGGUGAUCUAGCCAUGGGCAGGUUGAAGGUUGGGUAACACUAACUGGAGGACCGAACCGACUAAUGUUGAAAAAUUAGCGGAUGACUUGUGGCUGGGGGUGAAAGGCCAAUCAAACCGGGAGAUAGCUGGUUCUCCCCGAAAGCUAUUUAGGUAGCGCCUCGUGAAUUCAUCUCCGGGGGUAGAGCACUGUUUCGGCAAGGGGGUCAUCCCGACUUACCAACCCGAUGCAAACUGCGAAUACCGGAGAAUGUUAUCACGGGAGACACACGGCGGGUGCUAACGUCCGUCGUGAAGAGGGAAACAACCCAGACCGCCAGCUAAGGUCCCAAAGUCAUGGUU